UACAGACGGCGCAAGCGUUAUCCGGAAUGAUUGGGCGUAAAGCGUUCGUAGGUGGUUCGCGAAGUCUACUGUCAAAUCCCAGGGCUCAAACCUUGGACAGGCAGUGGAGAACUCGCGGACUAGAGUACGGUAGGGUAGAGGGAUUCCCGGUAGAAGCAGUGAAUGCACAGAGAUCGGGAAGAACACCAGUGGCGAAGGCGCUCUACGUAGGCCGUGACUGACACUGAGAGACGAUAGCUAGGGGAGCGAAUAGG
rnacentral:rRNA from 1 species